rnacentral:sRNA from 1 species
CAGCGGCACGAUGAGAUAGGGUGAAGAACCCUAGUGGGGGUUCAGCCGAGCGAAGCGAGACCACGUUGCCUUUAGGCAACGCCCGAAGGGGCGCGAGCUUGCGAGCGAUAAAUCCCUAUCUCUCCGCCA